GGAGUGAGUUGAACGGUCGCUGGCAGUUCUGCUGCUGGAGGAAAGUCCGGGCUCCACAGGAGGCGGUGGUGGGUAACGCCCACCGUUCGUGAGAAUAGGGAAAGUGCAACAGAGAGUAGACCGCCGAUGGCUCUUCGUGAGCACAGGUAAGGGUGAAACGGUGCGGUAAGAGCGCACCAGCGGGAUGGGUGACCAUUCCGGCUCGGUAAACCCCACCGGGAGCAAGAUCAAGCAGAGAGAAGCCGGCUUGCCGGCACGGUUUUCUCCGAACCGUUUGACUCUCGGGUCGAUCGCGCCGAGGGGACUGGCAACAGUCCUCCCAGAGAAAUGACCGUUCCCGACAGAACCCGGCUUACAGACUCACUCCGCAU
rnacentral:RNase_P_RNA from 1 species